rnacentral:rRNA from 1 species
AUUGACCGCUUUCUUCCUUCCUAACACAUGCAAGUCGAGCGGAUGAAGGGAGCUUGCUCCUGGAUUCAGCGGCGGACGGGUGAGUAAUGCCUAGGAAUCUGCCUGGUAGUGGGGGAUAACGUCCGGAAACGGGCGCUAAUACCGCAUACGUCCUGAGGGAGAAAGUGGGGGAUCUUCGGACCUCACGCUAUCAGAUGAGCCUAGGUCGGAUUAGCUAGUUGGUGGGGUAAAGGCCUACCAAGGCGACGAUCCGUAACUGGUCUGAGAGGAUGAUCAGUCACACUGGAACUGAGACACGGUCCAGACUCCUACGGGAGGCAGCAGUGGGGAAUAUUGGACAAUGGGCGAAAGCCUGAUCCAGCUAUGCCGCGUGUGUGAAGAAGGUCUUCGGAUUGUAAAGCACUUUAAGUUGGGAGGAAGGGCAGUAAGUUAAUACCUUGCUGUUUUGACGUUACCAACAGAAUAAGCAACGGCUAACUUCGUG